GAUGAACGCUGGCGGCGUGCCUAAUACAUGCAAGUCGAGCGAACAGACGAGGAGCUUGCUUCUCUGACGUUAGCGGCGGACGGGUGAGUAACACGUGGAUAACCUACCUAUAAGACUGGGAUCACUUCGGGAAACCGGCGCUAAUACCGGAUAAUAUUUUGAACCGCAGGGUUGAAUGGUAAAAGACGGUGUUGCUGUCACUAAUAGAGGGAUCCGCGCUGCAUUAGCUAGUUGGUAAGGUAACGGCUUACCAAGGCAACGAUGCGUAGCCGACCUGUGAGGGUGAUCGGCCACACGGGAACUUAGACACGGUCCAGACUCCUACGGGAGGCAGCAGUAGGGAAUCUUCCGCAAUGGGCGAAAGCCUGACGGAGCAACGCCGCGUGAGUGAUGAAGGUCUUCGGAUCGUAAAACUCUGUUAUUAGGGAAGAACAUAUGUGUAAGUAACUGUGCACAUCUUGACGGUACCUAAUCAGAAAGCCACGGCUAACUACGUG
rnacentral:rRNA from 1 species